rnacentral:lncRNA from 1 species
CGAAGUGUGUGAAGUGCAGCCUGAAAAUGAUCUUGGGUAGGAGAUUGCAUAAAUUGACUCAAAGAUUGCACAACAAAAGACAAAUCUGGGCAAGAGUGGGUUAGAAAGUUAAGCUUGCCCACCAAAUGCCGAUAUGUUGAAGUAUCAGAAAGAGGAACACCAGAAGCAGAGGUAAGUUUGAGCGAUGAGUCCAGAGGAGCAGAGACUGGUCUGGAAUGAAGGCAGUUAAAAUCCAACAGUAACUUAAUAGCAAAUUUACGCUGGGAGACAAUGAGGCCAUCAGACUCGCGAAGUAAUUCCAUCCCAAGGAAAUAAUGAGCAAAUCCCAGAUCCUUGAUACGAAAUUCAGAAUCCAAAAACUUCUUAAGGUCAAGUAUCUCAAUAGGACUGUUCCCUGUGAGGAGAAAAUUGUCUACAUAAACAGUGAUAAGCAUAGAAAAACAUCCCUGGUGCUUGUAAAAUAGAGAGUAAUCAUUUAGCGACACAAUAAAACCCGAGACACAAGGGCAGUAGAGAGGCGAGCGUACUAUUGGCGUGAAGACUGCUUAAGGCCAUACAAGGAUUUACGGAGUCGACAAACAUGAUGAGGAGAAGGAAGAGACAUUCCAGAAGGUGGCCUCAUGAACACCUCUUCAUCUAAAUCACCGUGAAAAAAAAGCGUUAUUGACAUCCAACUGAAGUAGAGGCCAAUCACGCUUAAUAGCGACACUAAGGAUGCACCGGAUAGUAGUAAUCUUAACUACAGGUGAGAAUGUCUCUGUGUAGUCAAUACCCUCUCUCUGAAUGUCACCCUGAAUUACCAAUCGAGCUUUUAGACGCUCAACAGAACCAUCAGACUUAGUCUUAAACUUGUAAAUCCAUUUGCAGGGUAAAAUCUUCUUUCCAGGAGGGAGCUCAACCAAAUCCCAAGUUCUAUUAGUCUCUAGAGCUUCGAAUUCUUUGGCCAUUGCAUCCUGCCAACCUGGAUGGAGAGUUGCCUGAUGGUACGUGGAAGGUUCUUGGACAUGGGUAAGGUGUUGAGGAUAUUCUGAUUUUGGGUGGAUAAAGCAGUAAAAGAAAAGGAAUGUAAACAGGCAACAAUAGGGGAAGGAGAUGGAGAAGCUGUGUUGCACAUAUAUUCACUUAAGUAUCCAGGUGUGUGCCUUACUCUGAUGGACCUCCGUAGUGUUGGACUCGCGACAACAUGAGAAGGAGAAAUAGCAAGUGGAGAAGGUAUAGGAACAGACAAGGAUGAUGCAGUAGAUGUAGGAGAUGUGGGAGAUGUAGGAGAGGUGGGAGAUGUAGGAGGGGAUGAUAUAAUAGAUUCAGAGGAAAUAGGAGUAGGUGAAACAGAAAUAGAGGAGGAAUUCAAAGGAGACGAGGUAGGAACUGGAUGUGGGAAAGGAGAAACAAGACGAGUAGAAACAGAAGAAAUGACAGAUGAAAUAGGAAGAGGAGAAUAAAAAGGGAAUAUGUGUUCAUGGAACUUAAUAUUUCGGGAGACAAAGAAUUGUUGUGAUUGUAAACUCAUGACUUUGUGGCCUUUCUUUCCAAAAGGAUAACCAAGGAAUACAUAAGGUGUGGCUCUAGGAUCUAAUUUAUUUCUCCCAUAAGAGAGCGUAGAAGCAAAACACAAACAACCAAACGAUUUUAGGAAGAAGUAAUCUGGUGGUUUAUCAAAUAAUUUCUAGUAAGGAGAAACAUUACCCAAAAUUCUUGAAGGAAAUCGGUUGAUAAGGAGUGUAGUUGUUACCAGACAGUCACCCCAAAAUUUGAUAGGUAAAUUGGACUGAAAUAAUAAAGCCCGACAUAUUUCAAGUAGGUGUUUAUGCUUGCGUUCAACCACACCAUUUUGUUUUGGUGUCGCUACACAAGAGGUUUGAUGGAGAACACCAAGAGAGGAGAAAAAUUGAGAAUGUGUAGUCCCUGACCCAAGCUCAUAAGCAUUAUCAGAUCGGACUUUCUUGAUUUUGACAUCGAAUUGUCGCUCUACCAUGGCAAAGAAUGCUUUGAGGAUAGGAAAAGCAUUUGACUUAGUGGAUAACAAUAAUGUCCAGGUACAUCUUGUAAAAUCAUCAACAAUUGUCAAGAAGUAACGAUGACCAUUAUAAGUAGGCGUAGAAUAUGGACCCCAAGUGUCUAUAUGAAUGAGGUCAAAUUUUUGUUUAGAAGUUAUAUAGCUAGAUGGAAAGGAUAGUUUUGUUUGUCUUGCUUUUGGGCAAAUUACACAGACUUCAUUUUGUUCAGAAUUCAAUUUGUGAGGUAUUCCAGGAAUGUUACUCAUAGCAGGGUAUGGUAAAUGACCCAAACGUUGAUGCCACAAUUUACUCAAAGUGCUACAAUUCAUAGAGCAAACAAUUUUAUUCAUUGAAUUAGCUUCAGUUACAACGUCGCUAGAAAGACGUCCAUCAAAAGGACUUAUAUUGAAAACAUCUGAAAAUAGAGAUUGUGAAGAACUACAUGGGACACUAGGUUCAACAGAAGUAGUGGAAUUGACACUGACAUUGGAAAGACUAGAACUAGAACUGGGAGCUGCAUUGUCCAACACAUAGAAUCCAUCAGUGGUCUCACCAAACACGUGUAGCCUCUUCAGAGAAGGGGCCUGUAUGUAACAACCAAAUUUGCUAAAAAUCAGUAAACAAUCAAGUUGAGUGCACAACUGUUGUACAGAGAUCAAGCUGUGUUUAAAACUUGGUACAUAUAGAACAUUUAUUAAAUCAGAUUAGGAGGAAUAAGCAAUUUUCCAAUGGCAAUAGCUUUAACUUUGUAUCCAUUUGGUAGAUUAACAUAUACAGGUUUUGACAAUUCUUUGGUUUCAUGAAGGAGUGAAAUAUCAUAAGUCAUGUGUUGUGUGACCCUUGUAUCAAGU